CCCCACUCUCUCUCUCUCGCGCACGUACCCCACCUAACCCCUCUUUCCCUCCUCUCUCUCUCUCUCGGGAACCCUAGCGCUCCACUCCUCCCUUGCCGCCGCCACCUCCGGCGGUAAUCGAAGACCAUAUCCGGUGAGAUCUGGCGCGCGCAGCGAGAUCCAUCUCUCUCUCACACACGAGAAGGAAAAUCCCCCGCCCCAUUCCCACGACUCAUCUGCCUCUCCCUCGAUCCCCUUCCUUCCCGAGGACGCACGCGCCGCCGCCUCCCCGAUCCCCUUCUCCCCUCGCCACCCCACAUCACCCCGCCAUCCACCUCGUCGCCUCCCUGAUUCAUCCUCCUCCUCCUCCUAUUCCCCUCAUCAGAUCCAUCCAUCCAUUCAUUUUUCCAUCAGAUCCACCUGACGCCAUCGCAUCCCCUUCUCGCUCGCAGGGUUGCAGGCGAUUCAAUCUGGUCCGGGUCCAUGGCGUCCAAGGCCGUGGCGGCGCUACUGGUGACGGACGAGCUGGCCCUGCCGCUCCGUGCGGUGGGGGACGGCAGCGGGGAAGCACGCAGCUGCGCAGCGACCGCGUGAGGUUUCAGUGAGCGGCCGCAUUGCUACGGCAGGAGGACCAACGCGCGCUUCCGGCGACGAGGCUCCAUCGCGCGAACCAAGACACGGACUCGACAGGAUGGCUCUGCGGGACUCCAGUGUCAGAAGCAGCGGUUGGGGCUACGCGGUGACCCCAGGACGCCGCUGCCCGAUUCCGGCGCGAAGGCUACCUCGCGCAAAUCAUGGCGGCCUUGACCAAGGAGGGGUCCGUGCCGCGCGGCGACCGGUGGUGAGCGUCGGUGCUGGCGAGUUUGGGUCAGUACGUCGCGACGGCGGCGAGCCUGCUCGGCGGCCCAUGAUUGGACCUUGGAGCCGCGCGAAGAGAAGGGGAUCCACUCCAAACCCAGGAUAGGCAACAUGGUGACUCUAGUGCUGACAUCUCCCGGUCGCGGCGCGUGUGAUCUGACUGUGUUGGGUUGGUGUCUAGUUGCAGGACAAGGUGGCGAACUCACUGUUUGAGAAGACGUCGAACCAGUUAGGCAUCGGCUGCGCGCUACCGCCCAAGAAGGACCUCCACCUGUUCGCCAGCGCCGCAUACUCAAGCAGCGCAUCCGUGCCCAGCCGCGGUUGUUUUUGCCCAUUUAUGUUGUUGCUUUAGUAGCAUUCUUUCCUUUCUUUUAUGUAGCAGCAGAGCACCACUCUUACUAUGCACUUCGCUCCAGAUUCUGCUACAAUUACAAAUUUAAAAUGCAUUCAUGCAUGAGCAGUGCAUGUGUUGGC